rnacentral:piRNA from 1 species
UGGUAAUUGGAAGAGCUUCUGGGUGU